rnacentral:rRNA from 1 species
UACGUAGGGCGCAAGCGUUAUCCGGAAUUAUUGGGCGUAAAGAGCUCGUAGGCGGUCUGUCGCGUCUGCUGUGAAAACUCAGGGCUUAACUCUGAGCUUGCAGUGGGUACGGGCAGACUAGAGUGCGGUAGGGGAGACUGGAAUUCCUGGUGUAGCGGUGAAAUGCGCAGAUAUCAGGAGGAACACCGGUGGCGAAGGCGGUUCUCUGGGCCUGUACUGACGCUGGAGGAGCGAAAGCGUGGGGAGCAAACAGG